CCCUUAGAUGUUCUGGGCCGCACGCGCGCUACACUGACGAAGUCAGCGAGCAUGUCCUACGCCGACAGGUGCGGGGAAUCUUGUCAAACUUCGUCGUGAUGGGGAUUGAUUAUUGAAAUUCUUGAUCAUCAACGAGGAAUUCCUAAUAAGCGCAAGUCAGCAGCUUGCGUUGAUUACGUCCCUGCCCUUUGUACACACCGCCCGUCGCUACUACCGAUUGAAUGGUUUAGUGAGAUCUUCGGAUUGGCGCCACUGCGGCUCAGCAAUGGGCUCGGUGGAUGCCGAAAAGUUGAUCAAACUUGAUCAUUUAGAGGAAGUAAAAGUCGUAACA
rnacentral:rRNA from 1 species